UUCCUUGUGCGCAAUUCAUAGUUGUUGUCCAAGGCUUUGAAAAUUUCUCCACGCAUCUCAAGAGUGAAGAACAUAGAAAGAAUGGACGAUACUUCGAUAACGAUACAAAGCAGCUGAAAGCAAGAAGAAGAAGAAGAAGAAGAGGAUAUAAGAGUUGAUGGGUCCAUAUGGCGAAUGUCAAGACUCGCUUUUACUUUUCAGUUAACUAAUACUUUUAUAAGAAAU